rnacentral:lncRNA from 1 species
ACCACGAAGCCUCAGUGGAGGUUCCUUUUUGUUAGAAAUGGCUCAAGGACUAGUAACAGAAACAGGACUUUACGAUCUAACUAACUGCAAGUCCUCCAUCGACGUAUCAGUUCUAAAAGCGGGUUUGUCUAAGCGUCGUUGUAAAUUUUUACACAGGUCAACCGGGUAUCACGCAGUGGUUUGUGUAAUGCGUCAUUCGCAAUUAUUGUGAUCAUACGAGUACAUAAAAUUAGUAGAGGUACAGCGUUUUUGGGGAAUCAAUCGCAUUACACUGGUCGCUUCGUGUUAAAACCCUGCCCUAUCCGAUCUACAAACUUGAUAAAAAUACGCUGCCAUAAUCAUUCGUCUUAUAUAAUAUGUAUGCAACAGUGACGUUUCGUUCGUAGAGUUCGGAAUAACGCAGAUUUAUCUACAAUUGUAGAAGUUCAAAUCAUCGGUUAGAGACUGAUCAUAUAACGGUUAACAGUUUAGGGCAUUUAUAGCUCACCCGCAGCUACCUGGCACGUAGGCGUUAGCGACCUUGUGGCAAUUAGCUUCCCGCGUGGGACGUUUAAGCCUUCUUUCUCUUUCGUCAUCUUUUUCCGUCACUGUUCCGAUCCCCCCUUUCAUCAUCUUUCGCUUUAGCAUGGAUCCAGUCUGGCGCCGCUAUGAGUAACAAUGACGGAAACGAGCAUGGACUGCUUCGGGGAGCAACCUUGCCACCAAUAAGCCUGUUUUCGACGGCGACUAGGAGCGUGGUUUCCGCAGUGGCGGUCUUGUAUCCCGUUCCCUGCGAUCCGAUAGAAAUCAGCUGGAUGGACAGUUUCUAACCAGUCCCGAAGUUUUGCUUUGGUAGGCCAUACACUUCGGUACUGCCUUCACAUAUCGGCUUUCUUUUCUCUUAUCCUAAUGACCAAUGCCAACUAGCACUACAAUAUCAUACUCAUUAAAUCCCACAAAUGUUACAAUUGUUCUCUCCUGUUUCUGGUGCAAAUAAAAUCAUGUUGAAUUAUCUUUUAUUCUAUGUACUACGCUCUAUUCACUAUGCAAGCAACGCUUAGUUACGUCGAGCUAACCGCUAUCGUCUAAGCUCGAUUAUAUGGAUCAUAGAUAUCAUACUACUUCAUUUCUACUUCACUGAGUACAAGGCAUGUGGAAGCAUGAAGUAACAUCUACGUGUAUGCAUCUAUAUCUAGCAGUAUAUUGCAGUUAGGAAGGCAGGCGACCGUCGUCAGAUGCUUGUGCGGCUGUUCUGAGGACCUUUUUGCCUCAAUCGGGGCAUCGAGCUGUUUUGUGGCGAGUCGAAUCGGAAUAGGUUCAAAGUCACUGGAUAAUACGAGCAGAUCAAAAGGAGGCAGUGAACCGAUAAAUUUCAAGCAAUUUUCUGGGUUUUCGUUUUCACCAUUCAGCUGACUACAAUAUCACGGUCGUCCUGUCGUUUUCAAUAGAUCAAUAUGUUGUUGUAAUUGUUGUUAGUAUAAUUGUUGACGUCACAGUCACUUUACAGAUCUGAAUUGUCGCAAGCUUAUUUUGUCACCCUGGAGCUGUCGCGGGUGUGGCCGCAGACAGGUUGAAUGGAGAAAACGGCCUAAAUUCCGAACGAACUAUCAAAGUCGGACCAACGAGCAUUAUCCAAUGCUAUCACCUUUUUGCUCGGCUGCAAGCGUUUCGACACCCAUUUCGAUGCAAGGCUGAAACGAGCGAACACAUUUAGAGACGUCUUAUAUGUUCUUAAAAGCGAUAUUUGAACCUGCAGCCGGUUUGUGGCCGUUUCUGUGUACAUGAGUGUGUGCUGGUAAUUCACUUUUUCUUCGUAGGAGCUGUUGCGUGCAUGGCUCCAGCGAUAGAAGGGCAUCAGCGGUUUAGCAAGCUGAAAUUUGUUUAGAUUUCUUCAAGCAUGUGGUAGAUUCCAACUCAAAGAUAUUAGGUGGGAUGAGGCCUCGUUUUCGCUAUGACUCGUUAACACUGUAACACCUCUUUUGUAUUGCAGGCGUCCUGAGUUCCACCUCGUCCUAAACAUCCGCAGCGUAGCACAAUCAUAUUACGAUGCUGAACCAUGCUAGCGGCGGCACUGUGAAGCGGAACAGCUUUGUUCGUUAGCGUCAUUGUAUCCAAUGUAUAGUCGAGCGGUUAGAUCCAUCCAAAUAUAUUUUUAGGGUCUUUGUGCUCUUUUAAUAGAGCGCUAAUAGAUCUGUUGAGUAGGUCUCAGGCUAUCGCAAAACACGCGCUUGUUGACGGCCGUUAUUACUGGGGAACUAUUUUGUAAAGCAUCGUUCAAAGCUGGGUAGUACAAGCUCUUCCUUCAUCUUCACGAUCGCUUGAACGAUUAAGAAUCGUAUUAUAGUCCGGACAGACAGCCAGCUUCUAUAAACGGUUAUACUAGCGUAUAGAUCUUGGUUAUACAGCAUUAUAGAUUUGUGUAUUCAUUAUCUUUUCGUUAGACUGCUUUUCGCAUCAAGGCGAAAUGAGAGUGAAAAAAAAAAUAAACAGAGGUCCUAUGGCACCUUUCUUUCGAGCAAAGCAUCUUUCGAGCUCGUACAGGACCACUUUCAUGGAUAACAUUGCACUGAAAUCUACUUGGGGCAGAGCCUUUGAAGGGGUGCGAUGGAUAUGUGUACAGCUGAGAAAAAAGUAUGUUUGAAAUGUUUGCCACACCAUGAGUGGUUGCGCACAUUGAUACACAUUACUACUGUAAAUCGUAAGAAAAAUCAUGCGAUAUUGAAUUGGUACAAUUUCGAAUUUGCGCGCCCUCUGAUCAAUUAGAAGAACUCUCAUUGGCCAUAUACAUAUCCAUCACGCCAAUUCAAAAGCUUUCCCUCAAGUAGAUCUCACCCUUGUGUUACCGUAAGAAAAUGAAGGUGUCUAUUUAUUGGUGAGCACGUCGACGUUCUGUCAAAGCUUAAAAUUAAUCAAAUAACAAUGGAGAUAGUCUUCUGGCUAUCAACAAAUAAUUCGUGUAAUGAUUUCGCUUGUUGUCAGAAAGAGAACAUUUGCUGGAAGUUCAGUAGGGGCCUUGGACCCCUUUGGAAAGCCAAUUGGAAAUUUAAGUUCUCGAGCAUCACGAUCCUGCAUUAGCGGUGUUAUGAUGGGUUACAACACGCGCCAAAACUUGUUCACACUUUGAGAGAGAGAGAAAGAAUGGGAGAGAGCGCGCGCGCGCGCGCGCGCGCGCACGCACGCACGCACGCACGCAUGCACGCGAGAAGCACUGAAUGGAAAAGAGAUCGAAACGGGAAGGGGAAUGGAUGAAACAACGAUUCCAUUGGGUGUGGUGAUGUCUUCAAUUUGUUCGUUCUGCUGUGGCGACAUGUAAUAUUGCAACUGCCGGUGCUAUUGCUACCGCUACUUCGUAUUUACUCUGGAUGCAGCGCGGCAAUUGACGCUUGCUACCCAUUAAGUGGCGGUUAAAUUAAAAAUCCACGGAACCCGAACGGUGUGGGGCUCAGUCUAGCUCAGCUGUGGUGGCUGGAGACGGGAUGGCUGAGUGCACUUCGAUCUCAUCUUUCAGCCGGUAGCAACUUGAACCUCCGUGGCACCUCUAGAGCGAAAUGUUUGACGAUGAUUCGUAGCGGUUCGUUUAAUUGAUUUUGAUUUCCGUAACAGCUGAUAUUCCCGCGGUGACCUUUCCCUGUUGUAGAGCCUCUUUAGUAAGUUUAAUAAAUAUAUUAGAGUCGUUUUGUAAUUAGUUGCAGUUAUUACACGAAUGCCUUUCAGCAAAGGAAACAGCAUUGUAAUCGGGUAAACUGACAUACUAAUAAGUAUGAUGAGAGUAGUUUUUGUUUACUGUUAAUCUUCACCAAUUCCGACUAUCCGGCUAAUUUUAAUCAACGUACCGGUGUAGGACACGUAUAUGUUACAUUUGCCAAUUUUUGUAUGCUUCAGCCUGUGAUGCCAUGACACCUUUACUGUUAACUCGUCUUAUGGUGCUCGAUCGAAUUUGCAACUGCCGGUGCUAUUGCUAUCGCUGCUUCGUAUUUACUCUGGACAUAAUCCAUUGCUGCCAAUUUGAUUUUGUUCAUCAGAGCUCUCGUGUCAGCGAGUGUUUUAACGGUAGCGUUCACAAUCGUCGAAUAUUAAGCAGAAUGUGUUUAAUUUACAAAGUGAUAAUAUGGCAAAAAGUUCAGUAUCGUUCGCUUCACAUUGACGCCUCAGACGCGAAGGUUACUACUACUACUGCUUGCUGCUGCCGUAAACAUUGCCCUUUUCGAACUAAGUGACGUAUACGAUAUGGCGAUCAAUAACAAAGCUACAAGAUGGAAUCAUCCACAAUAAAAUCUCCAAGCCGAUUCGGUCAUCGCCAUCUAUGCCGAUGUCGUUAAGAAGCGUUGACAGAUAUUUUCGCGCGUCAUGUUGUCGCUUUCUAGAUUCUUGAUUCUCAAUUGAACCUUCGUGUGGCUACUCUAUCAUCAGAGCCGACGAAAUGAAGCUGUUUCUUUUAGGCCAUUUGGUGUGAAGCGCAAAUAUGUAUGAGCCGUCGUAAAAUAUGAGAAAAUAGCUCGAGUCUUUCAGCUGCAUUGGCCUUCAAGCCACGUUGGCCGGUCGCCGCAAUCAUAGAAGGGAAAACGAUCUCUAGACAGUAAGUUGGCCAGGUCUUGAGUAGGGAGGUCAUAUGUGUAGCUUGAUUUCGCGGGCACGAAA